GGAGGGCUAGACCUAACUGGUAAGGCAGCGGUCUUGAAAACCGCCGGGCGCAAGCCCUUCGGGGUUCGAGUCCCCGGCCCUCCG
rnacentral:tRNA from 1 species